CGGCCCAGACUCCUACGGGAGGCAGCAGUAGGGAAUCUUCCGCAAUGGACGAAAGUCUGACGGAGCAACGCCGCGUGAGUGAUGAAGGUUUUCGGAUCGUAAAGCUCUGUUGUUAGGGAAGAACAAGUGCGAGAGUAACUGCUCGCACCUUGACGGUACCUAACCAGAAAGCCACGGCUAACUACGUGCCAGCAGCCGCGGUAAUACGUAGGUGGCAAGCGUUGUCCGGAAUUAUUGGGCGUAAAGGGCUCGCAGGCGGUUUCUUAAGUCUGAUGUGAAAGCCCCCGGCUCAACCGGGGAGGGUCAUUGGAAACUGGGAAACUUGAGUGCAGAAGAGGAGAGUGGAAUUCCACGUGUAGCGGUGAAAUGCGUAGAGAUGUGGAGGAACACCAGUGGCGAAGGCGACUCUCUGGUCUGUAACUGACGCUGAGGAGCGAAAGCGUGGGGAGCGAACAGGAUUAGAUACCCUGGUAGUCCACGCCGUAAACGAUGAGUGCUAAGUGUUAGGGGGUUUCCGCCCCUUAGUGCUGCAGCUAACGCAUUAAGCACUCCGCCUGGGGAGUACGGUCGCAAGACUGAAACUCAAAGGAAUUGACGGGGGCCCGCACAAGCGGUGGAGCAUGUGGUUUAAUUCGAAGCAACGCGAAGAACCUUACCAGGUCUUGACAUCCUCUGACAACCCUAGAGAUAGGGCUUUCCCUUCGGGGACAGAGUGACAGGUGGUGCAUGGUUGUCGUCAGCUCGUGUCGUGAGAUGUUGGGUUAAGUCCCGCAACGAGCGCAACCCUUGAUCUUAGUUGCCAGCAUUCAGUUGGGCACUCUAAGGUGACUGCCGGUGACAAACCGGAGGAAGGUGGGGAUGACGUCAAAUCAUCAUGC
rnacentral:rRNA from 1 species